rnacentral:rRNA from 1 species
UGGGGAAUAUUGCACAAUGGAGGGAACUCUGAUGCAGCGACGCCGCGUGAACGAAGAAGGCUUUCGAGUCGUAAAGUUCUUUUAUAUGGGAAGAUAAUGACGGUACCAUAAGAAAAAGCCCCGGCUAACUACGUGCCAGCAGCCGCGACAAUACGUAGGGGGCUACCGUUGUCCGGAAUCACUGGGCGUAAAGGGUUCGCAGGCGGAAAUGCAAGUCAGGUGUAAAAGGCAGUAGCUUAACUACUGUAAGCAUUUGAAACUGCAUAUCUUGAGAAGAGUAGAGGUAAGUGGAAUUUUUAGUGUAGCGGUGAAAUGCGUAGAUAUUAAAAAGAAUACCGGUGGCGAAGGCGACGUACUGGGCUCAUUCUGACGCUGAGGAACGAAAGCGUGGGUAGCAAACAGA